CUGGCGGCACGCCUAAUACAUGCAAGUCGAACGGAGUAGCAAUACUUAGUGGCAGACGGGUGAGUAACAUGUGGGUAUCUUCCCUUUGGUGAGGAAUAACACGAGGAAACUUGUGCUAAUACCUCAUAAGUCUUUACGGAGAAAGCUUUAUGCGCCGAUGGAUGAGCCCGCACUUGAUUAGUUUGUUGGUAGGGUAAUGGCCUACCAAGACUGUGAUCAAUAGCUGAUUUGAGAGGAUGAUCAGCCACAUUGGGACUGAGACACGGCCCAAACUCCUACGGGAGGCAGCAGUAGGGAAUCUUGCACAAUGGAGGAAACUCUGAUGCAGCGAUGCCGCGUGAGUGAAGAAGGCCCUUGGGUUGUAAAGCUCUUUCGUCGGGGAAGAAAAUGACUGUACCCGAAUAAGAAGGUCCGGCUAACUUCGUGCCAGCAGCCGCGGUAAUACGAAGGGACCUAGCGUAGUUCGGAAUUACUGGGCUUAAAGAGUUCGUAGGUGGUUAAAAAAGUUGGUGGUGAAAGCCCAGAGCUUAACUCUGGAACUGCCAUCAAAACUUUUUAGCUAGAGUUUGAUAGAGGAAAGCAGAAUUUCUAGUGUAGAGGUGAAAUUCGUAGAUAUUAGAAAGAAUACCGAUUGCGAAGGCAGCUUUCUGGAUCAUUACUGACACUGAGGAACGAAAGCAUGGGUAGCGAAGAGGAUUAGAUACCCUCGUAGUCCAUGCCGUAAACGAUGUGUGUUAGAUGUUGGAAAUUUAUUUUCAGUAUCACAGCGAAAGCAAUAAACACACCGCCUGGGGAGUACGACC
rnacentral:rRNA from 1 species